UAAUUUUUCCAAGGCAAAUCCUCAUCUAGUUAUGUCAGACCCACACUUGAAUGCUCAGAAUCACCUGUGAGAACUACUAUGUGAAUAACAACUUUUAAAUAU
rfam:Populus trichocarpa scaffold_12_contig_173, whole genome shotgun sequence.